GCUGUGGCUCAGUGGAACAGCAUCUGCUUUGCAUUCAGGAGGUCUCAGGUUCAAUCCCUGGCAUCUCCA
rnacentral:tRNA from 1 species